rnacentral:rRNA from 1 species
UACGUAGGGGGCUAGCGUUGUCCGGAAUCACUGGGCGUAAAGGGCGCGUAGGCGGCUCAUGAAGGCUGUGGUGAAAGUCCGGGGCUCAACCUCGGAUCGGCCGUGGCGACUCGUGGGCUGGAGCACUGUAGAGGCGGGUGGAAUUCCGGGUGUAGCGGUGGAAUGCGUAGAGAUCCGGAAGAACACCAGUGGCGAAGGCGGCCCGCUGGGCAGUGGCUGACGCUGAAGCGCGACAGCGUGGGGAGCAAACAGG